GUUGGGAGAUCAGCAAGCGUGGGUGCCUUCAUGCGCAUGCGCGACCAAGAUGGCGACGUGAAAGAAGACGCUGCAGACCCUCGCUGUUUCGCGGUGAUUUCUCCUCCGAGCCUGGAGCAAGAUGGAGGACGGACUUCUCUCAUUAAAGUGGAACAACCACAAGUCCACUUUUUUCCAUAUUCUAAGUGAAGUUCGGGGAAAACAUACGUACACUGAUGCAACCUUAGCUUGUGAAGGAAAGUUUUUCCCAGUGCACAAACUUGUGAUGUCAACAUGUAGUGAUUACUUUGCUGAAAUAUUUGAAAAGACUCCAUGUAAAAAUCCAGUAGUUGUGCUCAAAGACAUAAAAAAGUCAGAUUUAGAGGCCUUGUUAGACUAUAUGUACAUAGGUGAAGUGGACGUGAGGCAGAGUGAGCUAGCUGGACUCAUCAAAGCUGCCGAGUGUUUAAGAAUUAAAGGCCUCGCUGUCCCAGAUGAGGAUCCUACUAAAGCCCAGAAAAAAGGGCCCAGUAUUGUACCUGAGAGAAGGGAGGAUAGUCCUCCCGCGAAACGAAAAAGACGGGAAUCUGGAGGAGACCGUGGAAGGGCCCCUUCUCCCCCCAUCCCAAGGGGGUCCUCCCAGUCUUCCCACCCCCCUUCCACAUCAUCAGUGCCUAGUCAAGCACCCUCUCAACUGUCAAGUGUACCUGAGUCACAUGUGCCAUCACAAUCUAUGCCCCCACCACCUAGUAUAGCCCAGGAAGCGCGACAUAUAGAGAGUGGGCGUGGUAGACAAGACACUCACUCACAACAGUCACCACAACAACCACACCCAUCUCAAAUAUCAUCUUUACGACCGUCUCCGGAUCCUUCGUCCCUUCGGUCUCCUCCCAGUGGUGGACACGAUUCCUCUCACCCACCUACGGCGUCGCCCAGAUCAUCUGACCCAUCCCUCCUUCCAGUUCAAAUGAUUAAAGUUGAAGUAGAUGAUGCAGAUAAUCCGGGAGCAAAAGAUUCUCAUGGGGAUAGAGAAGAUGGGAGUGAGAUGGAUGGGGAUGAAGAGGAGACUAGUAAUGAUUUCUCUGAAUACCAAAGUCAUGGUGGUGAAAUAGAAAAGGAGGAACAUGACCAGAUGGACUCUUAUGGUGCUGAACAAAUACCUGGGCCUUCAGGCCUACAAGGGGCUCCUCCAGUAUUAAGCUGGGGAGAUGAGGGGGAAGCUGGUUUCCCCCACAACCUCUUUGGUGGAGAUGAUCCAGCAGCUCAACAAGCGUUGCAAGGCCCAGACCUGGCGCGGCGGGCGUGGGAAACUCUCUCGGAAAGCCUUGUCGCUCGUUUGACCAGCUCUGCACCUCCACCACGGCCACCCCACCGACUGGGGGGGUCCCAACUCCAUAGUGGGGGGACUCCAAUCACUUCUGAUCGUCCCCACUUGUGCCCUCUGUGUCCAUACCGUGCCACCACACGUGAUAGCCUAGCUAGACAUAUCCGUACUCACACUGGUGAAAGACCUUUCAAGUGCUCAUAUUGUCCCUACAGAGCGAUACAAAAAUCGGAUGUAGAUAAACAUAUCCGACGUCGACACAAGGAUGCCGUGUCAAAUUGGCCUGGAGUUACUCCUGCUUGUGUGUCUAAUGUUCUUUCUAAUGUAUCAAAUCUCACAUACACCCAACCAACCAACACUGCCUGGCAAAGUACACAUGUCCGCCAGAGUGCAACUUCCAGUGUCUUGACUGAACCCACAUCAGCAUAUACCAGUCCACCUAAUAAUGACAUCUAGUUGUCAGCCUUGCAGACUUGUGGAGAAAUGUAUCCUGAUACCGACCUAACAUUCAGGGUGGUGGUGUUGGCAGCGGUGGUGGUACCCUAGGUGAUGUUGGCAGGCAUACCGCAGGGGUUCGUUGGGCUAUGGUACUUCAAGAAGAGGCAGCUAAGAAUGACUUGGCAACUUCCGAAAAGCC
rnacentral:misc_RNA from 1 species